rnacentral:lncRNA from 1 species
UCUCCCAACCUUACAUCAACAUGCUCAUUUCCUGUCGUCUUUCGUAUUCAUAAAUGUUCAUUUGCAAUGGGAUCUUCGUAUCGGUCUCUACUCCUGGGAUCUCACUCAUUCCAACUCGAUAAGAGUAGACACGACCAUUUGUAUUUGUACUCGAAGCUAUCCUGAGGAAUCGCUUGGAUUGAAGGAGGAGAUGUCUCGCACAAUUCCAAAACGAAUGUCCCAACCUUAACAUUCCUUUCAAGGACUGUAAUUCGAACAGGCACCUUCUUACUCCUCAAAGUAUGAUAUGUGUUACGAUCCGAGGUCUAAGCUGUAUCCUGGGAUAACUCCAUGAAAGUUGAGGAACUCGCCUCUUUGUCUCAUGAUUCGUCUCUUUGAAGUUGACAAUCACCUUGUGGUUGAAAGGACCUGACCGGGCUACGGGACUAGGAAGACCUCAGGGUCAAAUUCGUAAGAUAUUUCCCCACUAUUUCCAUCUGUCCGAGUUACGUAGUGGCUAAUCCAUGUUUUCCAAAAGAAUCUUACAGAAUAAAGGAUACUCGACAUAAGUUAAUAAAUCGGAUCUUUCCCUGACGAUCCAUUUACGAUGUUUCUUCCGAAUGGUUUCCCCAUGGUCGUUACAGAGUGGUUAAUCCUACCACGAAAAAUCUUGAGGGUACUCAGCACAAGAUUACGAAUUGGAUCAUCCAUUUAUGACAUUAUGUCAAGGUUUCCCUGUUGUAAUUACAAGAGUGUUUUAUCCUGUAUUAACCAUAGAAUUGCAUGUUCUUGAGGAAACUCAAAAAAAGAUUACUGAUUGGACCUUCCUCCGAUCAACCAUUUACAAUGUUUAUUCCGGUUGAUUUCCUCCAUUGGAUUUGCAGAGUGUCAAAUUCUAUAUUACCACGAAGAAUCACGUAUUCUUGAGGAUACUCAACACAAGUUAAUAAAUCGGAUCUUUCCCUGAUGAGCUAUUCACGAUGUUUCUUCCGAAUGGUAUCCCCGUUGUCCAGUGGUUAAUCCUACCACGAAGAAUCUUGAAGGAUUUGGAUGACAACGAUUUAAUCAUAGGAAUAACCAAAGUAUUGAGGACUAUUCAUUAAUUCGAGACUUGGUUGACUAGUUGGUACUACAUGAAUAUGUGAUUGUUUUUAUUUUUUAGUUGUGUUUUUAACUAUUAAAAUUGUUAUACUCUUUUUAAAUUAUUGUUGAUACGUUCAUUUUUAAAUAAAGCCUUGUAAAGCUA